GACGAACGCUGGCGGCGUGCUUAACACAUGCAAGUCGAACGAUGACGACCGAGCUUGCUCGGUCUGAUUAGUGGCGAACGGGUGAGUAACACGUGAGCAACCUGCCCUUCACUCUGGGAUAACCUCGGGAAAUCGGGGCUAAUACCGGAUAUGAGCUCCUGUCGCAUGGCGGGUGUUGGAAAGUUUUUCGGUGAAGGAUGGGCUCGCGGCCUAUCAGUUUGUUGGUGAGGUAGUGGCUCACCAAGGCGAUGACGGGUAGCCGGCCUGAGAGGGCGACCGGCCACACUGGGACUGAGACACGGCCCAGACUCCUACGGGAGGCAGCAGUGGGGAAUAUUGCACAAUGGGCAAAAGCCUGAUGCAGCGACGCCGCGUGGGGGAUGACGGCCUUCGGGUUGUAAACCUCUUUCAGCAGGGAAGAAGCGAAAGUGACGGUACCUGCAGAAGAAGCGCCGGCUAACUACGUG
rnacentral:rRNA from 1 species